rnacentral:rRNA from 1 species
AUGUCCAUAGCACAGGAUUCAUCGGUUAUGGAGAUUGCUAGCAUGAUUGCCAGUAUGUACGAUGAUCUAACGGCCAUUCUUGUAACAUAUUAUGCUGAGAUCCGGCCAUCUCCUGAGUGCGUCUUGUUUGGAUCAACUACUGAAGGCGCACCUUUGAAGAUCGACCUUCCUAAAUGCAAUUUCGGCAGAGACCCAUGGGUUGUUGGUACAGUAACCGCACCACCACCCGAGAACGCUCUCAGAGCUAUAAGAGACUGGAUGGCAGCAGCUUCUACCUUAAAUCUUCAGAGGCCAUGGGUUGUACACCCCAAACCUCGUUUCAUCUCAGUGGAUGGCUUAGAUAUUCAGCAACAGCUUGUGGCACACAAGAAAAUGUCCCAUGAAAUUUGUACUUCCAUCUUCCGCAGACUUGCCCAACUUGACAUGAGCUUCUCAAAAGACACCCCUGGUAUGAUGUGGAGGAAAUACAUCGAGCCUAAUUUUGCGACAACUGUUCUGUCCAAUGCCGACCCACUGAUUGUGCACUCCAUUAGGGCUAGCUUGCGGGAGGGAACCGCCUCUUGCAACCCAGCAUCAUGCCGCAUGUGGUUUAUUCCAGCUAUUCUCCCAGAUGGCUGGGUGGUUUAUGCAUUUGACAUGUUGCGCAAGCGAAUCGUCGUUUAUGACCCUGCUGUCGGCCCAUUCGGAUACAGUAAUCGCCGAGUCAGCAUCCAUGAAUUUGUGAGCAACAAACUUCAUGUUGCUCUGUUCAACUGCCUCUAUAGUUUUUUCAGUUCAUGGCAUUGUGAAUCAACUCACUGGACACGUACAUUUCCAAUCAUAAUGAGAGAACAAUUUCACAAGGACGAAGCCGGAUUAUGUGCCACUUUUUUUGCAAGGAACUAUGACGGUGACAAGUUGCAAAUCCCACUCACCAAAGAAACACUCGUAUCGCACAGCAACCUCAUGCUGUACGAGCUGAUGAGGACGCAAGGAAAUCAAACAAAAGCUGCUAGCGACUCGCUCGAAGCAAUUAAAGGGUCAUUUGUCGUUCUGUAG